rnacentral:rRNA from 1 species
AGUGAACGCUGGCGGUAGGCCUAACACAUGCAAGUCGAACGGCAGCACAGUAAGAGCUUGCUCUUACGGGUGGCGAGUGGCGGACGGGUGAGGAAUACAUCGGAAUCUACUUUUUCGUGGGGGAUAACGUAGGGAAACUUACGCUAAUACCGCAUACGACCUACGGGUGAAAGCAGGGGAUCUUCGGACCUUGCGCGAUUGAAUGAGCCGAUGUCGGAUUAGCUAGUUGGCGGGGUAAAGGCCCACCAAGGCGACGAUCCGUAGCUGGUCUGAGAGGAUGAUCAGCCACACUGGAACUGAGACACGGUCCAGACCCCUACGGGAGGCAGCAGUGGGGAAUAUUGGACAAUGGGCGCAAGCCUGAUCCAGCCAUACCGCGUGGGUGAAGAAGGCCUUCGGGUUGUAAAGCCCUUUUGUUGGGAAAGAAAAGCAGCAGGUUAAUACCCCGCUGUUCUGACGGUACCCAAAGAAUAAGCACCGGCUAACUUCGU